GCGCCUACCAGCAGUCGAACGGUAGCAACUAGCUUGCUAGAUUGCUGACGAGUGGCGGACGGGUGAGUAAUACUUAGGAACAUGCCUUUGUGUGGGGGAUAACUAUUGGAAACGAUAGCUAAUACCGCAUAACGUCUACGGACCAAAGGGGGCUUUCGGGCUCUCGCGCAAAGAGUGGCCUAAGUGAGAUUAGCUAGUUGGUGAGGUAAAGGCUCACCAAGGCGACGAUCUCUAGCUGUUCUGAGAGGAAGAUCAGCCACACUGGAACUGAGACACGGUCCAGACUCCUACGGGAGGCAGCAGUGGGGAAUAUUGCACAAUGGGGGAACCCUGAUGCAGCCAUGCCGCGUGUGUGAAGAAGGCCUUCGGGUUGUAAAGCACUUUCAGUUGUGAGGAAAGGUUAGUAGUUAAUACCUGCUAGCUAUGACGUUAGCAACAGAAGAAGCACCGGCUAACUCCGUGCCAGCAGCCGCGGUAAUACGGAGGGUGCGAGCGUUAAUCGGAAUUACUGGGCGUAAAGCGCACGCAGGCGGUUUGUUAAGCUAGAUGUGAAAGCCCCGGGCUCAACCUGGGAAUAGCAUUUAGAACUGGCAGACUAGAGUCUUGGAGAGGGGAGUGGAAUUCCAGGUGUAGCGGUGAAAUGCGUAGAUAUCUGGAGGAACAUCAGUGGCGAAGGCGACUCCCUGGCCAAAGACUGACGCUCAUGUGCGAAAGUGUGGGUAGCGAACAGGAUUAGAUACCCUGGUAGUCCACACCGUAAACGCUGUCUACUAGCUGUUUGUGUAUUAUAUACGUGAGUAGCGAAGCUAACGCGCUAAGUAGACCGCCUGGGGAGUACGGCCGCAAGGUUAAAAACUCAAAUGAAUUGACGGGGCCCGCACAAGCGGUGGAGCAUGUGUUAAUUCGAUGCAACGCGAAGAACCUUACCUACUCUUGACAUCCAAAAUUGGCAAAUGCCUCAGUGCCUCGGAAUUCUGAAACAGGUGCUGCAUGGCUGUCCUCACCUCUGUCUGAAAUGUUGGGUUAAUCCCCAACGAGCCCACCCUUGUCUAUUUCCACAUUAUGGCCCUUAGGAAACUGCCGGUAAACGAAGAAGGGGGGACACUCAGUCCUCUGCCUUAAAUAGGCUACCCUGCUAAUGGAGUACAAGGAACACUUCAAUACGACUAACCCUCCUAUC
rnacentral:rRNA from 1 species